rfam:Schistosoma rodhaini strain Burundi genome assembly, scaffold: SROB_scaffold0009813
GCACUGCUGAGGAGUCUCAUGAUAGGACGAAAUGGCCGUCCAGUGC